rnacentral:rRNA from 1 species
AUUGAACGCUGGCGGCAUGCUUUUCACAUGCGAGUCGAACGGUAACAGGCCGCAAGGUGCUGACGAGUGGCGAACGGGUGAGUAAUGCAUCGGAACGUGCCCAGUCGUGGGGGAUAACUACUCGAAAGAGUAGCUAAUACCGCAUACGAUCUAUGGAUGAAAGCGGGGGACCGUAAGGCCUCGCGCGAUUGGAGCGGCCGAUGUCAGAUUAGGUAGUUGGUGGGGUAAAGGCUCACCAAGCCAACGAUCUGUAGCUGGUCUGAGAGGACGACCAGCCACACUGGGACUGAGACACGGCCCAGACUCCUACGGGAGGCAGCAGUGGGGAAUUUUGGACAAUGGGCGCAAGCCUGAUCCAGCAAUGCCGCGUGCAGGAAGAAGGCCUUCGGGUUGUAAACUGCUUUUGUACGGAACGAAACGGCUCUGGUUAAUACCCGGGGCUAAUGACGGUACCGUAAGAAUAAGCACCGGCUAACUACGUG